ensembl:snRNA U6 U6 spliceosomal RNA
GUGCUUGCUUCAGCAGCACAUAUACUAAAACUGCAACAACACAGAGAGGACAGCAUGGCCCCUGCACAAGAAUGACAUCCAAAUUUGUGAAGCAUUCAAUAUUUUC